GAUGAACGCUGGCGGCGUGCCUAAUACAUGCAAGUCGAGCGAACGGACGAGAAGCUUGCUUUUCUGAUGUUAGCGGCGGACGGGUGAGUAACACGUGGAUAACCUACCUAUAAGACUGGGAUAACUUCGGGAAACCGGAGCUAAUACCGGAUAAUAUUUUGAACCGCAUGGUUCAAAAGUGAAAGACGGUCUUGCUGUCACUUAUAGAUGGAUCCGCGCUGCAUUAGCUAGUUGGUAAGGUAACGGCUUACCAAGGCAACGAUGCAUAGCCGACCUGAGAGGGUGAUCGGCCACACUGGAACUGAGACACGGUCCAGACUCAUACGGGAGGCAGCAGUAGGGAAUCUUCCGCAAUGGGCGAAAGCCUGACGGAGCAACGCCGCGUGAGUGAUGAAGGUCUUCGGAUCGUAAAACUCUGUUAUUAGGGAAGAACAUAUGUGUAAGUAACUGUGCACAUCUUGACGGUACCUAAUCAGAAAGCCACGGCUAACUACGUG
rnacentral:rRNA from 1 species